GAAUCUUCCGCAAUGGACGAAAGUCUGACGGAGCAACGCCGCGUGCGUGAUGAAGGUUUUCGGAUCGUAAAGCUCUGUUGCCAGGGAAGAACGCUUGGGAGCGUAACUGCUCUUAAGGUGACGUUACCUGAUGAGAAAGCCCGCGCUAACUACGAGCCAGCAGCCGCCGUAAGACGUAGGGGGCAAGCGUGGUCCGGACUUAUUUGGCGUAAAGCGCGCGCAGGCGGUUCAUUAAGUCUGGUGUUUAAGGCUAGGGCUCAACCCUGGUUCUCACUGGAAACUGUUGAACUUGAGUGCAGAAGAGGAAAGUGGAAUUCCACGUGUAGCGGUGAAAUGCGUAGAGAUGUGGAGGAACACCAGUGGCGAAGGCGACUUUCUGGGCUGUAACUGACGCUGAGGCGCGAAAGCGUGGGGAGCAAACA
rnacentral:rRNA from 1 species